CCUACGGGAGGCAGCAGUAGGGAAUCUUCGGCAAUGGACGGAAGUCUGACCGAGCAACGCCGCGUGAGUGAAGAAGGUUUUCGGAUCGUAAAGCUCUGUUGUAAGAGAAGAACGAGUGUGAGAGUGGAAAGUUCACACUGUGACGGUAUCUUACCAGAAAGGGACGGCUAACUACGCGCCAGCAGCCGCGGUAAUACGUAGGUCCCGAGCGUUGUCCGGAUUUAUUGGGCGUAAAGCGAGCGCAGGCGGUUAGAUAAGUCUGAAGUUAAAGGCUGUGGCUUAACCAUAGUACGCUUUGGAAACUGUUUAACUUGAGUGCAAGAGGGGAGAGUGGAAUUCCAUGUGUAGCGGUGAAAUGCGUAGAUAUAUGGAGGAACACCGGUGGCGAAAGCGGCUCUCUGGCUUGUAACUGACGCUGAGGCUCGAAAGCGUGGGGAGCAAACAGGAUUAGAUACCCUGGUAGUC
rnacentral:rRNA from 1 species